CCUACGGGUGGCUGCAGUGAGGAAUAUUGGUCAAUGGGCGCGAGCCUGAACCAGCCAAGUCGCGUGAGGGAAGACGGUCCUAUGGAUUGUAAACCUCUUUUGUCGGGGAGCAAAAGACGCCACGCGUGGCGUUCCGAGAGUACCUGAAGAAAAAGCAUCGGCUAACUCCGUGCCAGCAGCCGCGGUAAUACGGAGGAUGCGAGCGUUAUCCGGAUUUAUUGGGUUUAAAGGGUGCGCAGGCGGAAGAUCAAGUCAGCGGUAAAAUUGAGGGGCUCAACCUCUACUAGCCGUUGAAACUGGCUUUCUUGAGUACGUGAGAGGUAUGCGGAAUGCGUGGUGUAGCGGUGAAAUGCAUAGAUAUCACGAAGAACUCCGAUUGCGACGGCAGCAUGCCGGCCCUCAACUGACGCUGAUGCACGAAAGUGUGGGUAUCGAACAGGAUUAGAUACCCUUGUAGUC
rnacentral:rRNA from 1 species